rnacentral:rRNA from 1 species
AUUGAACGCUGGCGGCAGGCCUAAAACAUGCAAAUCGAGCGGAGCGUCGGACGGGUGAGUAAUGCCUAGGAAUCUGCCUGGUAGUGGUGGAUAACGUCCGGAAACGGGCGCUAAUACCGCAUACUAUCAGAUGAGCCUAGGUCGGAUUAGCUAGUUGGUGGGGUAAAGGCAUACCAAGGCGACGAUCCGUAACUGGUCUGAGAGGAUGUUCAGUCAAACUGGAACUGAAAAAGCGUCCAGACUACUACGAAGGGCAGCGAUGGGGAAAAUUGGACAAUGGGCGAAAGCCUGAUCAAGCCAUGCCGCGUGUGUGACGAAGGUAUUCGGACUGUAAAGCACUUUAAGGAAGGAGGCGUUACCAACAGAAUAAGCACCGGCUAACAUCGUGCCAGCAGCCGCGGUAAUUC